rnacentral:rRNA from 1 species
UACGUAGGGGGCAAGCGUUGUCCGGAAUCACUGGGCGUAAAGGGCGCGUAGGCGGCUCAUGAAGGCUGUGGUGAAAGUCCGGGGCUCAACCUCGGAUCGGCCGUGGCGACUCGUGGGCUGGAGCACUGUAGAGGCGGGUGGAAUUCCGGGUGUAGCGGUGGAAUGCGUAGAGAUCCGGAAGAACACCAGUGGCGAAGGCGGCCCGCUGGGCAGUGGCUGACGCUGAUGCACGAAAGCGUGGGGAGCGAACCGG